AAUAGAUACCCGGUAGUCCACGCCGUAAACGAUGAGUGCUAAGUGUUAGAGGGUUUCCGCCCUUUAGUGCUGCAGCUAACGCAUUAAGCACUCCGCCUGGGGAGUACGGUCGCAAGACUGAAACUCAAAGGAAUUGACGGGGGCCCGCACAAGCGGUGGAGCAUGUGGUUUAAUUCGAAGCAACGCGAAGAACCUUACCAGGUCUUGACAUCCUCUGACAACUCUAGAGAUAGAGCGUUCCCCUUCGGGGGACAGAGUGACAGGUGGUGCAUGGUUGUCGUCAGCUCGUGUCGUGAGAUGUUGGGUUAAGUCCCGCAACGAGCGCAACCCUUGAUCUUAGUUGCCAGCAUUUAGUUGGGCACUCUAAGGUGACUGCCGGUGACAAACCGGAGGAAGGUGGGGAUGACGUCAAAUCAUCAUGCCCCUUAUGACCUGGGCUACACACGUGCUACAAUGGAUGGUACAAAGGGCUGCAAGACCGCGAGGUCAAGCCAACCCCAUAAAACCAUUCUCAGUUCGGA
rnacentral:rRNA from 1 species